CUGGGCGUAGACCCGAAACCAGGUGAUCUAUCCAUGGCCAGGAUGAAGGUGCGGUAACACGUACUGGAGGUCCGAACCCACUAACGUUGAAAAGUUAGGGGAUGAGCUGUGGAUAGGGGUGAAAGGCUAAACAAACCUGGAAAUAGCUGGUUCUCUCCGAAAACUAUUUAGGUAGUGCCUCGUGUCUCACCUUCGGGGGUAGAGCACUGUCAUGGUUGGGGGGUCUAUUGCAGAUUACCCCGCCAUAGCAAACUCCGAAUACCGAAGAGUGCAAUCACGGGAGACAGACAUCGGGUGCUAACGUCCGGUGUCAAGAGGGAAACAACCCAGACCGCCAGCUAAGGUCCCCAAAUAUGGCUAAGUGGGAAACGAAGUGGGAAGGCUAAAACAGUCAGGAGGUUGGCUUAGAAGCAGCCACCCUUUAAAGAAAGCGUAAUAGCUCACUGAUCGAGUCGUCCUGCGCGGAAGAUGUAACGGGGCUAAGCCAUAUACCGAAGCUGCGGAUGCGAGCUAGUCUCGCAUGGUAGGAGAGCGUUCCGUAAGCCUGCGAAGGUGCGUUGAAAAGCGUGCUGGAGGUAUCGGAAGUGCGAAUGCUGACAUGAGUAGCGAUAAAGGGGGUGAAAGGCCCCCUCGCCGUAAGCCCAAGGUUUCCUACGCAACGUUCAUCGGCGUAGGGUGAGUCGGCCCCUAAGGCGAGGCAGAAAUGCGUAGCUGAUGGGAAGCAGGUCAAUAUUCCUGCACCGUCGUUAGAUGCGAUGGGGGGACGGAUCGCGGAAGGUUGUCCGGGUGUUGGAAGUCCCGGUCGCUGCAUUGGAGAAGGCGCUUAGGCAAAUCCGGGCGCAGGAUUCAAGGGUGUGGCGCGAGCUCCUUCGGGAGCGAAGCAAUUGGAAGUGGUUCCAAGAAAAGCCUCUAAGCUUCAGUCUAACGAUGACCGUACCGCAAACCGACACAGGUGGGCGAGAUGAGUAUUCUAAGGCGCUUGAGAGAACUCGGGAGAAGGAACUCGGCAAAUUGGUACCGUAACUUCGGGAUAAGGUACGCCCUGGUAGCUUGACUGGCCUGCGCCAGAAGGGUGAAGGGGUUGCAAUAAACUGGUGGCUGCGACUGUUUAAUAAAAACACAGCACUCUGCAAACACGAAAGUGGACGUAUAGGGUGUGACGCCUGCCCGGUGCCGGAAGAUUAAAUGAUGGGGUGCAAGCUCUUGAUUGAAGUCCCGGUAAACGGCGGCCGUAACUAUAACGGUCCUAAGGUAGCGAAAUUCCUUGUCGGGUAAGUUCCGACCUGCACGAAUGGCGUAACGAUGGCCACACUGUCUCCUCCCGAGACUCAGCGAAGUUGAAGUGUUUGUGAUGAUGCAAUCUACCCGCGGCUAGACGGAAAGACCCCAUGAACCUUUACUGUAGCUUUGCAUUGGACUUUGAACCGAUCUGUGUAGGAUAGGUGGGAGGCUAUGAAACCGGAAUGCUAGUUUCGGUGGAGCCGUCCUUGAAAUACCACCCUGGUUUGUUUGAGGUUCUAACCUUGGCCCGUGAUCCGGGUCGGGGACAGUGCAUGGUAGGCAGUUUGACUGGGGCGGUCUCCUCCCAAAGCGUAACGGAGGAGUACGAAGGUACGCUAGGUACGGUCGGAAAUCGUGCUGAUAGUGCAAUGGCAUAAGCGUGCUUAACUGCGAGACCGACAAGUCGAGCAGGUGCGAAAGCAGGUCAUAGUGAUCCGGUGGUUCUGUAUGGAAGGGCCAUCGCUCAACGGAUAAAAGGUACUCUGGGGAUAACAGGCUGAUACCGCCCAAGAGUUCAUAUCGACGGCGGUGUUUGGCACCUCGAUGUCGGCUCAUCUCAUCCUGGGGCUGUAGCCGGUCCCAAGGGUAUGGCUGUUCGCCAUUUAAAGAGGUACGUGAGCUGGGUUUAAAACGUCGUGAGACAGUUUGGUCCCUAUCUGCCGUGGGCGUUGGAAGUUUGAAGGGGGCUGCUCCUAGUACGAGAGGACCGGAGUGGACGAACCUCUGGUGUACCGGUUGUGACGCCAGUCGCAUCGCCGGGUAGCUAUGUUCGGAAGAGAUAACCGCUGAAAGCAUCUAAGCGGGAAACUCGCCUUAAGAUGAGACUUCCCCGGGGACUUGAUCCCCUUGAAGGGUCGUUCGAGACCAGGACGUUGAUAGGUCGGGUGUGUAAGCGCAGUAAUGCGUUCAGCUAACCGAUACUAAUUGCCCGUACGGCUUGAUCCU
rnacentral:rRNA from 1 species